rnacentral:rRNA from 1 species
GGAUGAACGCUGGCGGCGUGCUUAACACAUGCAAGUCGAACGGGGUACCCCCAAAGGAGUUUUCGGACAACUGCGGGGAAUACCUAGUGGCGGACGGGUGAGUAACGCGUGAGUAACCUGCCUUGGAGUGGGGAAUAACAGCUGGAAACAGCUGCUAAUACCGCAUAAUGCAGUUGGGUCGCAUGGCUCUGACUGCCAAAGAUUUAUCGCUCUGAGAUGGACUCGCGUCUGAUUAGCUAGUUGGUGGGGCAACGGCCCACCAAGGCGACGAUCAGUAGCCGGACUGAGAGGUUGGCCGGCCACAUUGGGACUGAGACACGGCCCAGACUCCUACGGGAGGCAGCAGUGGGGAAUAUUGGGCAAUGGGCGCAAGCCUGACCCAGCAACGCCGCGUGAAGGAAGAAGGCUUUCGGGUUGUAAACUUCUUUUCUCAGGGACGAAGCAAGUGACGGUACCUGAGGAAUAAGCCACGGCUAACUACGUGCCAGCAGCCGCGGUAAUACGUAGGUGGCAAGCGUU